AUGACCUAUAAACAAAACAUAAUACUUCAUCAUUCUAGGUGACCAUUUAACGUUAAAUAGUCACAUUUCAUUACCCAUAUUCAGUGAGUGAACAAAUUCCACCGCACCAUUGUUUUUUUAGCAGUUUUACGAUGACCAGUGUCCGGGACGGUUGCGUAAAAACGGCUCCUCGUGAAUGUCAAUCAAAUUGUUCAGAGAUGCCCCCGAAGAAGGAGUCCUUUGGGAUUUCGCCACCCGGCAAUUGAAAGUAGCGAUUGAUUCCUUUGGCCCCAGUCUACAAAAAAGGCGCCGUAAUGUAUUCGGGCUUUGAAGCUCAGCUGCGAAGAGUCCUGAGGCAUCUGAGGCCAAACGUUGUAUCCUGGAACGCGGCAGCCGUGAGAGAUAAAGGCCCCUUCGGCUUGGCGUUGAAUGAAAACUGUUGUUGCUUCCAACAGUUGGCGAACAUCCCAGCGGGCAUCUCCAUCGUCCACAAGUUGUCUAAAUUGCUUUUCUCCAGGAAACUUGGUCCACCAAAAUGCUUGAACCUUCCAUGAGUGGGUAUAUUAGGGCAAGGUAAAGUUUAAGAAGUUGGUCAGCUAUUUUGGGAGGCCAGAUUGCACAGAUGAAAAGAAAAUGACACAAAGCCAUGCAGCAACUGGGGCGUAAGAAGGGACACUGCAAAGAACGCUCACCACUGUCUGCAGUGUCCCACACAAGAAGCAAAACAUGCUAUCUGAUGCCCUAAUUGUGAGACUUAUUCCCGCCUAUCCAGUCUCCUAAGGUGCCGCAGUGUUCAUUGCGUUGAGAGGCAAUGAGAAUGCCCCAGUAUCCCUUCACUCAGGAUCCGCCACUUCGAGAGAGAGAGAAAAAGCAUCACGGGACGAUUUCAAAAACCCUUCGUCUACUUAGUGUUUGUUGCGGAGGGCACUGGCUGUGUUCGCUUUUACUUUGGAAAUCGGCCUUCAAGUCACACCUUUAUUCUUCUGCACACACCAAUUGCAUCUGGAAGGACAACCUGUCUUUCCCCAGGUCCUGCUUGUCUCCACGCUGCCAACCUCCGGAGUCGUGAAAAGGCCUGAUUCUGUUUUAUAGCUGGUGGGGAUAUAAGCCGUAGUUACUGAACCUUGGCAGUGUGCUGCAUCCAAUGGUUUCGGACGCCUUUCUGACUACGAGAGCAUUUUUG